rnacentral:rRNA from 1 species
AUGGCCAGAUGGUUUCUAUGGAUUUCAUCGAAGGAUUGCCACAGUCAGGACGAUUCAAUUGCAUUUUGGUCGUCGUGGAUAAGUUCUCCAAAUACAUCCAUUUCCUACCAUUGUCGCAUCCAUUCUCUGCUUCCCAAGUGGCAACUACUUAUGUGGAUCAAGUUUACAGACUGCAUGGACUACCAAAUUCUAUUCUAUCCGACCGAGAUCCAAUCUUUACAAGCAGAUUCUGGCAAGAGCUCUUUACAAACCCAAACAACCCUUCGGAUGAGCACACCAUAUCACCCGGCCACGGAUGGGCAAACUGAGCGUACAAACCAAUGCCUCGAGACUUUCCUCAGAUGUUUUGUGCAUUCUUGUCCAAAGAAAUGGAGUUCAUGGCUUCCUCUUGCUGAAUUCUGGUUUAACACCAGCUGGCACAGUGCUCUUGGGAAAUCCCCCUUCUUUGUCCUUUACGGCCACGAACCUCGACAUUGGGGCAUUGAAGCAGCCUCAGCCACUCCAGUUUCUGAUCUGAACACUUGGUUAUCAGAACGGGAAGAAAUGCAAGCUCUAAUUCGACAACACCUCCUCCGAGCUCAGACGAGAAUGAAACACCAAGCUGACAAGAACCGAUCUGAACGAAGCUUUGAAAUUGGGGAUUCUGUCUACAUUAAACUCCAACCUUAUGUUCAGAGUUCUGUUGCUCGCCGAGCGUGUCAUAAGCUCUCGUUUCGCUACUUUGGGCCAUUUCUGGUGCAAGCUCGCAUUGGACAAGUGGCUUACCGUGUGGGUUUACCAGAGACUUCGAAGAUCCAUCCCGUCUUUCACGUCUCGCAGCUUCGCAAGGCUGUG